rnacentral:rRNA from 1 species
GAUGAACGCUAGCUACAGGCUUAACACAUGCAAGUCGAGGGGAAACGACAUCGAAAGCUUGCUUUUGAUGGGCGUCGACCGGCGCACGGGUGAGUAACGCGUAUCCAACCUGCCCACCACUUGGGGAUAACCUUGCGAAAGUAAGACUGAUACCCAAUGAUAUCUCUAGAAGACAUCUGAAAGAGAUUAAAGAUUUAUCGGUGAUGGAUGGGGAUGCGUCUGAUUAGCUUGUUGGCGGGGUAACGGCCCACCAAGGCAACGAUCAGUAGGGGUUCUGAGAGGAAGGUCCCCCACAUGGGAACUGAGACACGGUCCAAACUCCUACGGGAGGCAGCAGUGAGGAAUAGUGGUCAAUGGACGAGAGUCUGAACCAGCCAAGUAGCGUGCAGGAAGACGGCCCUAUGGGUGGUAAACUGCUUUUAUAAGGGAAUAAAGUGAGUCUCGUGAGACUUUUUGCAUGUACCUUAUGAAUAAGAACCGGCUAAUUCCGUG